rnacentral:rRNA from 1 species
GAGUAGAGUGGCGCACGGGUGAGUAACGCGUAAAUAAUCUACCCCUGCAUCCGGGAUAACCCACCGAAAGGUGUGCUAAUACCGGAUACGUUCUUUUGAUCGCGAGAUUAAAAGAAGAAAGGUGGCCUCUGAUAUAAGCUACUGUGCGGGGAGGAGUUUGCGUACCAUUAGCUAGUUGGUAGGGUAAUGGCCUACCAAGGCAAUGAUGGUUAGCGGGUCUGAGAGGAUGAUCCGCCACACUGGAACUGGAACACGGACCAGACUCCUACGGGAGGCAGCAGUGAGGAAUAUUGCGCAAUGGGGGCAACCCUGACGCAGCGACGCCGCGUGGAUGAUGAAGGCCUUCGGGUCGUAAAAUCCUGUCAGAUGGAAAGAAAUGUUAUAUGGAUAAUACCUGUAUAGCUUGACGGUACCAUCAAAGGAAGCACCGGCUAACUCCGUGCCAGCAGCCGCGGUAAUACGGAGGGUGCAAGCGUUGUUCGGAAUUACUGGGCGUAAAGCGCGCGUAGGUGGUCUGUUAUGUCAGAUGUGAAAGUCCACGGCUCAACCGUGGAAGUGCAUUUGAAACUGGCAGACUCGAGUACUGGAGGGGGUAGUGGAAUUCCCGGUGUAGAGGUGAAAUUCGUAGAUAUCGGGAGGAAUACCGGUGGCGAAGGCGACUACCUGGCCAGAUACUGACACUGAGGUGCGAAAGCGUGGGGAGCGAACAGGAUUAGAUACCCUGGUAGUCCACGCCGUAAACGAUGUCAACUAGGUGUUGGGAUGGUUAAUCGUCUCAUUGCCGCAGCUAACGCAUUAAGUUGACCGCCUGGGGAGUACGGUCGCAAGAUUAAAACUCAAAGGAAUUGACGGGGGCCCGCACAAGCGGUGGAGUAUGUGGUUUAAUUUCGACGCAACGCGCAGAACCCUACCUGGUCUUGACAUCCCGGGAAGCUUCAGGAAACUGGAGUGUGCCUCUUGAGGAACCCGGUGACAGGUGCUGCAUGGCUGUCGUCAGCUCGUGUCGUGAGAUGUUGGGUUAAGUCCCGCAACGAGCGCAACCCUUGUCUU